rnacentral:rRNA from 1 species
AACGAACGCUGGCGGCAUGCCUAACACAUGCAAGUCGAACGAGACCUUCGGGUCUAGUGGCGCACGGGUGCGUAACGCGUGGGAACCUGCCCUUAGGUUCGGAAUAACUCCCCGAAAGGGGUGCUAAUACCGGAUAAUGUCUUCGGACCAAAGAUUUAUCGCCUUUGGAUGGGCCCGCGUUGGAUUAGCUAGUUGGUAGGGUAAAAGCCUACCAAGGCGACGAUCCAUAGCUGGUCUGAGAGGAUGAUCAGCCACACUGGGACUGAGACACGGCCCAGACUCCUACGGGAGGCAGCAGUGGGGAAUAUUGGACAAGGGGCGAAAGCCUGAUCCAGCAAUGCCGCGUGAGUGAUGAAGGCCUUAGGGUUGUAAAGCUCCUUUACCCGGGAUGAUAAUGACAGUACCGGGAGAAUAAGCUCCGGCUAACUCCGUG